rnacentral:rRNA from 1 species
CGGACGGGUGAGUAAUGUCUGGGAAACCGCCUGAUGGAGGGGGAUAACUACUGGAAACGGUAGCUAAUACCGCAUAACGUCGCAAGACCAAAGAGGGGGACCUUCGGGCCUCUUGCCAUCGGAUGUGCCCAGAUGGGAUUAGCUAGUAGGUGGGGUAACGGCUCACCUAGGCGACGAUCCCUAGCUGGUCUGAGAGGAUGACCAGCCACACUGGAACUGAGACACGGUCCAG